rnacentral:rRNA from 1 species
AUGCCUAGCCGUAAAAUAUUAACCCACACUUAAAACCGCCAGGGAAUUACGAGCCCAAGCUUAAAACCCAAAGGACUUGACGGUGUCCCACCCACCUAGAGGAGCCUGUUCUAUAAUCGAUUCUCCCCGAUACACCUCACCCCUUCUUGCCUCUCAGUCUGUAUACCUCCGUCGUAAGCUUACCAUGUGAACGAAGCUAGUGAGCUUAAAGAUCUCCCACCCAUACGUCAGGUCAAGGUGCAGCUUACGAAGGGGGAAGAAAUGGGCUACAAUUUCUAAUUUAGAACAAACGAAAGACCACAUGAAAACCAGUCAUGAAGGCGGAUUUAGUAGUAAAAAGAAAAUAAAAUGUUCUUUUUAAUAAGGCCCUGGGACGCGUACACA